rnacentral:lncRNA from 1 species
GCCAUCUUGAUAAGGGAGUUUCGCAAUAAAGCAUUUGCCGGGUGGGUGACUGAUAGCAAAGCUGUGUUUCCUGGGGAAAAGUGUGGCAUCUUCAGUUUACAUCAACUUGCUCUCAUCUGAGACAAAACUCUGUGUGUCCCUGCUGCGAUGGAUGCCAGAUAGAGCCUGCUUGCCUAGGAUGGGGACAGAUGCCAUUGGAAACAGCAAAUUUACAACAGCGGCCAGUACUUUUGCAAGAUCGCUGGAGAGAAUUCAUCAUCAGAAUAGAGAUUGCAAGACCAUCACGAUGACUUCACGUCAGUGCCAGCAUAUGCAGCCGUGGAAUACAGUGAGCGCUCUCUGCGGCUGACAGCAAUAGCGGUGAUCUAAUUUACCCGGCGACUGGAAGAAACUCUUUGUACAGGCUCUGGGUCCCUUUGGAUUAGUGACUUCAAGGUCAACUGGAGGAGAAAGGAAGCAGGGCUGAGGGUCACCCUCUCCUGUCUCAUUUGCAUGCUCUUGAAUAUAUGAUUUUAAGAAACAUGCGUUUUUGAUCUGCAAUGUAAAAAUUCCUCAAUGAUUUUUUGUACAGAUGUGCAGAAUACAGGAAUGAAAUAAAAUAUUGAG